rnacentral:rRNA from 1 species
CAGCAGCCACGGUAAAACGGAGGGGGCUAGCGUUGUUCGGAAUUACUGGGCGUAAAGCGCACGUAGGCGGCUUGGUAAGUUAGAGGUGAAAGCCUGGAGCUCAACUCCAGAAUUGCCUUUAAGACUGCCGAGCUAGCAGGUGAGAGAGGUAAGUGGAAUUCCGAGUGUAGAGGUGAAAUUCGUAGAGAUCGGGAAGAACACCAGUGGCGAAGGCGGCUUACUGGCUCAUACUGGACGCUGAGGUGCGAAAGCGUGGGGAGCAAACAGGAUUAGAUACCCCCGUAGUCCCUGUCUCUUAUAC